AGAGUUUGAUCAUGGCUCAGGACGAACGCUGGCGGCGUGCUUAAUACAUGCAAGUCAACUGAACUUUUGGUAGUAAUAUCAAAAGGGAGGUGGCGCACGGGUGAGUAACACGUAGGUAAUCUGCCUUUAGGUCUGACAUAAUUCCGCGAAAGCGGGACUAAUUUCAGAUGAUGCAGCGGCUCGACAUCGAGACAGUUGUUAAAUCUUCGGAGCCUAAAGAUGAGCCUGCGUCUGAUUAGAUAGUUGGCGGAGUAAAAGCCCACCAAGUCUGCGAUCAGUAGCUGGUCUGAGAGGAUGAUCAGCCACACUGGAACUGAGACACGGUCCAGACUCCUACGGGAGGCAGCAGUAAGGAAUAUUGCUCAAUGGCCGAAAGGCUGAAGCAGCAACGCCGCGUGGAGGAUGAAAUACUUUUGUAUGUAAACUCCUGUAAGAGGGGAAAAAUAUCUCAUUUUAUGAGAUUGAUUGUACCCUCAGAGUAAGCACCGGCUAACUACGUGCCAGCAGCCGCGGUAAUACGUAGGGUGCUAGAGUUGUCCGGAUUUACUGGGUGUAAAGGGUGCUCAGGUGGGUUUGUAAGUCAGAGGUGAAAUCCCAAAGCUUAACUUUGGUGCUGCCUUUGAUACUGCAAGUCUUGAGUUUGAGAGAGGGUAAUGGAAUAUCUGGUGUAGCAGUGAAAUGCGUAGAUAUCAGAUAGAACACCAAUGGCGAAGGCAGUUACCUGGCUCAAAACUGACGCUAAAGCACGAAAGUGUGGGGAGCAAACAGGAUUAGAUACCCUAGUAGUCC
rnacentral:rRNA from 1 species